rnacentral:lncRNA from 1 species
AGGAGGAGAUCAUCGAGCUCUAUGUAGCUUAGCAGACUAAGAUCGUUGAAGGUGUUUGGGCUUGUUGUUAGUGAAUAUAUGUGUCGUGUCGCCGUCAGGAUGAUGUUUGUGAGGAAGUUCUAGAUGAGUAAGAUGGAAGGUUGGAAGAAAGGUCAUCCAAUCAAAGUGAAGAGUUACGUGCGAGCCAGGUCGUCAAAUGGUGAAGCCAAUGUUGGCAAAGUGG